rnacentral:rRNA from 1 species
AUACGCCUACGGGGGGCAGCAGUGAGGAAUAUUGGUCAAUGGGCGAGAGCCUGAACCAGCCAAGUCGCGUGAAGGAUGACGGCCCUAUGGGUUGUAAACUUCUUUUGUCAGGGAGCAAUUGAGUCCACGUGUGGGCUUAGCGAGAGUACCUGAAGAAAAAGCAUCGGCUAACUCCGUGCCAGCAGCCGCGGUAAUACGGAGGAUGCGAGCGUUAUCCGGAUUUAUUGGGUUUAAAGGGUGCGUAGGCGGAAUAUCCAGUCAGCGGUAAAAAUUG